rnacentral:ncRNA from 1 species
AAGUGUCUGUCAUUGUAGUUAUGAAUAAAUUACAAAAUUGUAUCUGUGAAUGAGCCUGAAUCACUGUUAUAUUUAAAUUUUAUCACUGGCUGUUUUGGAUGACCGGCAAGUUUACUUUGAAAAAAUUAGAGUGCUCAAAGCAGACAUGAUGCCUGAAUAAUGGUGCAUGGAAUAAGACCUCGGUUCUAUUUUGUUGGUUUUCAGAAUACGAGGUAAUGAUUAAGAGGGACAGAUGGGAGCAUUUGUAUUGUGAUACUGGAGGUGAAAUUCUUGGGCCGUAACAAGACGAAAUUCUGCGAAAGCAUUUGCCAAGAAUGUUCCCAUUAAUCAAGAAUGCAUGUUAGAGGUUCGAAGGUGAUCAAAUACUGCCCUAGUUCUGUGUGGCAGUGC